GUCAGCGGCGAUAGCACGUUGAAUACACCAGUUCCGGGUGUGUAGCAACGUUGCGCGUGGUUAGUAUCUGGAUGGGUGACCAUCUAGGCCAUCGCGUGCUAGCUUUUC
rnacentral:rRNA from 1 species